GACGAACGCUGGCGGCGUGCUUAACACAUGCAAGUCGAACGAAGAGCGAUGGAAGCUUGCUUCUAUCAAUCUUAGUGGCGCACGGGUGAGUAACGCGUAAUCAACCUGCCCUUCAGAGGGGGACAACAGUUGGAAACGACUGCUAAUACCGCAUACGAUCUAAUCUCGGCAUCGAGGAUAGAUGAAAGGUGGCCUCUACAUGUAAGCUAUCACUGAAGGAGGGGAUUGCGUCUGAUUAGCUAGUUGGAGGGGUAACGGCCCACCAAGGCGAUGAUCAGUAGCCGGUCUGAGAGGAUGAACGGCCACAUUGGGACUUAGACACGGCCCAUACUCCUACGGGAGGCAGCAGUGGGGAAUCUUCCGCAAUGGACGAAAGUCUUACGGAGCAACGCCGCGUGAGUGAUGACGGCCUUCGGGUUGUAAAGCUCUGUUAAUCGGGACGAAAGGCCUUCUUGCGAAUAGUGAGAAGGAUUGACGGUACCGGAAUAGAAAGCCACGGCUAACUACGUG
rnacentral:rRNA from 1 species